rnacentral:lncRNA from 1 species
GUGAAUCUGGAUUGGGAAAGUCGACAUUAAUCAACUCAUUAUUCCUCACAGAUUUGUAUUCUCCAGAGUAUCCAGGUCCUUCUCAUAGAAUUAAAAAGACUGUACAGGUGGAACAAUCCAAAGUUUUAAUCAAAGAAGGUGGUGUUCAGUUGCUGCUCACAAUAGUUGAUACCCCAGGAUUUGGAGAUGCAGUGGAUAAUAGUAAUUGCUGGCAGCCUGUUAUCGACUACAUUGAUAGUAAAUUUGAGGACUACCUAAAUGCAGAAUCACGAGUGAACAGACGUCAGAUGCCUGAUAACAGGGUGCAGUGUUGUUUAUACUUCAUUGCUCCUUCAGGACAUGGGUCAGUACCUUGAUACUUCUGAUUCCUUUUUUGUUGUUGUUGCUUACUGUUACCUUUAUGUGCAUACUUUAGUAAUCUUUAAGUUUGUGAAGUACACACAACUAUAGCCAUUAUGAAGUACUAAAUUUCAUGUAGAAAUGUCUUAGUUGAAAAGCCAUUUUAAGUCCUAUAUAAGCUAACAGUGAUUUUACUCCUUAGUUCUUCAUUCAUAAGGAUUUUCCCUGCUUCAUGAAAUAAACAGUGUUGCCACCAUGGUUUGAGGUCUCAAUGUGGCAAAUUUAGCUUUCAUGUUGACCACUCUGCUACUAAUAGAAAUACCAAAUAAAGAGAAGCAGCCAUACCA